rnacentral:rRNA from 1 species
AACGAACGCUGGCGGCGUGGAUAAGACAUGCAAGUCGAACGCUGAUUUGAGGGUAGCAAUAUUCUCAAGUCGGAGUGGCGCAGGGGUGCGUAACGCGUGGGUAAUUUGCCAUGAAGCCCGGAAUAACUCGCUGAAAGGCGAGCUAAUACCGGAUGUGAUUUUUGGGAGGCAUCUCCUGAAUCUUAAAGCUGGGGACCGUAAGGCCUGGCACUUCAUGAUAAGCCCGCGGCCUAUCAGCUAGUUGGUGAGGUAACGGCUCACCAAGGCUAAGACGGGUAGCUGGUCUGAGAGGACGACCAGCCACACUGGAACUGAGACACGGUCCAAACACCUAUGGGUGGCAGCAGUCAAUAAUUUUUCUCAAUGGGCGAAAGCCUGAAGGAGCGACGCCGCGUGGGGGAUGAAUGGCUUCGGCCCGUAAACCCCUGUCAUUUGCGAACAAACCUUGUCAUUUAAAAGAUGACGAGCUGAUUGUAGCGAAAGAGGAAGGGACGGCUAACUCUGUGCCAGCAGCCGCGGUAAUACAGAGGUCCCAAGCGUUGUUCGGAUUCACUGGGCGUAAAGGGUGCGUAGGUGGUCGGGUAAGUCUGAUGUGAAAUCUCCA